rnacentral:lncRNA from 1 species
ACUGCCAACCUGGAUGUGACAUUGCCACCGUGGAGGGGACACCGGGGAUGGGACCCUGGAUGUGACACUGCCACCAAGAAGGGGACACUGCCACCAUGGAGGUGACACUGCCACCAUGGAGGUGACACUGCCACCAGGGCUGGCACCCUGGAGGUGACAAGGGACGGUGUGGCCACACUGCCAUGUCCUGCUGUGACACCAGGGUGACACAGAGCUCGUCCCCUGUCCCCUCUCUGUCCCCAAGGCUCAGGGCAGGACUGGUGGGGACACAUCACGGUGUACCCUCGGUGUCACAGCAGGAAGGGGACACUGGGGGACAUCCCUGUGGUGUCACAGCACAAUGGAGGAUGUCCCCAUGGUGUCCCCAAGGCGGUGUCACAGCAGAAAGGGGACACUGGGGGCUGUCCCCUCAAUGUCACAGCAGGAAGGGGACACUGAGGGACAUCCUGGCGGUGUCACAGCAGGAAAGGCACAAUGGGCGAUGUCCCCUGGAUGUCCCCUGGGUGUCACAGCAGGAAGGGGACACUGGG